CCUACGGGGGGCUGCAGUGGGGAAUAUUGGGCAAUGGGCGCAAGCCUGACCCAGCAACGCCGCGUGAAGGAAGAAGGCUUUCGGGUUGUAAACGUCUGUUGACAGGGAAGAGGAGAAGACGGUACCUGUCGAAUAAGCCACGGCUAACUACGGGCCAGCAGCCGCGGUAAUACGUAGGUGGCAAGCGUUGUCCGGAUUUACUGGGUGUAAAGGGCGUGUAGCCGGGUUGACAAGUCAGAUGUGAAAUCCUGCGGCUUAACCGCAGAACUGCAUUUGAAACUGUUGAUCUUGAGUACUGGAGAGGCAGCCGGAAUUCCUAGUGUAGCGGUGAAAUGCGUAGCUAUUAGGAGGAACACCAGUGGCGCAGGCGGUCUGCUGGACAUCACCUGACGGUGAGGCGCGAACGCGUGGGGAGCAAACAGGAUUAGAUACCCUUGUAGUC
rnacentral:rRNA from 1 species